UGCAUUUGUAGCUCAUGAGGAUGAGAACCUCCGGGGGCAGGGAGGUUCGACUCGAGCGAAGCGAGAGAACGUUGCGCCAGCAACGGCCCGCAGGGCGAGCCACGAAGUGG
rnacentral:sRNA from 1 species